rnacentral:rRNA from 1 species
UACGUAGGGUGCAAGCGUUGUCCGGAAUCAUUGGGCGUAAAGAGCUCGUAGGCGGUCUGUCGCGUCGGCUGUGAAAUCCCGGAGCUCAACUCCGGGCCUGCAGUCGAUACGGGCAGACUGGAGUUCGGCAGGGGAGACUGGAAUUCCUGGUGUAGCGGUGAAAUGCGCAGAUAUCAGGAGGAACACCGGUGGCGAAGGCGGGUCUCUGGGCCGAUACUGACGCUGAGGAGCGAAAGCGUGGGGAGCGAACAGG